UGGCUGGUGUUCUAACGUAGACCCGUGAUCCGGGUUGCGGACAGUGUCUGGUGGGUAGUUUGACUGGGGCGGUCUCCUCCCAAAGAGUAACGGAGGAGCACGAAGGUUGGCUAAUCCUGGUCGGACAUCAGGAGGUUAGUGCAAUGGCAUAAGCCAGCUUGACUGCGAGCGUGACGGCGCGAGCAGGUGCGAAAGCAGGUCAUAGUGAUCCGGUGGUUCUGAAUGGAAGGGCCAUCGCUCAACGGAUAAAAGGUACUCCGGGGAUAACAGGCUGAUACCGCCCAAGAGUUCAUAUCGACGGCGGUGUUUGGCACCUCGAUGUCGGCUCAUCACAUCCUGGGGCUGAAGUAGGUCCCAAGGGUAUGGCUGUUCGCCAUUUAAAGUGGUACGCGAGCUGGGUUUAGAACGUCGUGAGACAGUUCGGUCCCUAUCUGCCGUGGGCGCUGGAGAAUUGAGGGGGGCUGCUCCUAGUACGAGAGGACCGGAGUGGACGCAUC
rnacentral:rRNA from 1 species